AGUCCCCCAUGGGUGGGGAUUUGUUGCAUUACUUGUAACUUGCUAAUAGUAUUGCACUUGUCCCGGCCUGUGGAGGAAGA